CACACACGUACAGCUCUGGUUUCUUCUGUUGGCAUUUCUGCUGCUUCUGUUGCCUGACAAACCUGAUAAAUGAAAGCCACUGAUUCAAAGCCAAUAUUUUACACAGAGAAAGGAGAUCCCAGCUGGGACUACUCACCAAGGUUAGUUCAUAGGCAAGAGAAAAAAGCAAGGAAAAGGAUCUAGAGACCUUGGUGAACUAAAGCUGCAGCCCAGGGCAAUCCCUACAUGUGCAAUAAUGAGUGCGAUGCGAGUACCCCUGAGCUGGCACACCCCCCUGAGCUGAUGUUUGAUUUUGAAGGAAGACAUCCCUCCACAUUUUGGCAGUCUGCCACUUGGAAGGAGUAUCCCAAGCCUCUCCAGGUUAACAUCACUCUGUCUUGGAGCAAAACUAUUGAGCUAACAGACAACAUAGUUAUUACCUUUGAAUCGGGGCGUCCAGACCAAAUGAUCCUGGAGAAGUCUCUCGAUUAUGGACGAACAUGGCAGCCCUAUCAGUAUUAUGCCACAGACUGCUUAGAUGCUUUUCACAUGGAUCCUAAAUCCGUGAAGGAUUUAUCACAGCAUACGGUCUUAGAAAUCAUUUGCACAGAAGAGUACUCAACAGGGUAUACAACAAAUAGCAAAAUAAUCCACUUUGAAAUCAAAGACAGGUUCGCGUUUUUUGCUGGACCUCGCCUACGCAAUAUGGCUUCCCUCUACGGACAGCUGGAUACAACCAAGAAACUCAGAGAUUUCUUUACUGUCACAGACCUGAGGAUAAGGCUGUUAAGACCAGCCGUUGGGGAAAUAUUUGUAGAUGAGCUACACUUGGCACGCUACUUUUACGCGAUCUCAGACAUAAAGGUGCGAGGAAGUAAGAACUUGAAGAAAGUGGCCUGGAAAACUCCCAUCAACAUCUUCAGUAUUUACCCUUUAACAAAAUAUUCCUAAAGGUAUAAAUGACCAUUAUAGAACAUUUACAGAAUCCCGUGGAAUACUACUAUGUAAAAGGCUAGUGAAAUUGUGAUGGAAGAGUCAGCAAAGAUGUGAAAAAUGAAAUGCCAAGUGGUACAAUCUGGUGUAUUU
rnacentral:sRNA from 1 species